rnacentral:rRNA from 1 species
AUUGAACGCUAGCGGGAUGCUUUACACAUGCAAGUCGAACGGCAGCGCGGACUUCGGUCUGGCGGCGAGUGGCGAACGGGUGAGUAAUGUAUCGGAACGUGCCCAGUAGCGGGGGAUAACUACGCGAAAGCGUAGCUAAUACCGCAUACGCCCUACGGGGGAAAGCAGGGGAUCGUAAGACCUUGCACUAUUGGAGCGGCCGAUAUCGGAUUAGCUAGUUGGUGAGGUAACGGCUCACCAAGGCGACGAUCCGUAGCUGGUUUGAGAGGACGACCAGCCACACUGGGACUGAGACACGGCCCAGUCUCCUACGGGAGGCAGCAGUGGGGAAUUUUGGACAAUGGGGGCAACCCUGAUCCAGCCAUCCCGCGUGUGCGAUGAAGGCCUUCGGGUUGUAAAGCACUUUUGGCAGGAAAGAAACGUCGCGGGCUAAUACCCCGUGGAACUGACGGUACCUGCAGAAUAAGCACCGGCUAACUACGUG